AUUAUAGUUUUUUCCAUCAAAAAUAGGAAUAGAAGGUUGAUUAAUGCUUAUAUCCAUAUUGCUUGAACUUGCCAUGAAGAUCUUCUUGAAUGGUGCUCUCUUUCCCACUUGUUGUCUUCAAACUCAAACCUUAUUGAUCUUUUUUACUCUGAUACCACUUUUGUUGGCAUUGUUUACCAACUUGAUAAAAUUUGGGAGG
rnacentral:lncRNA from 1 species